rnacentral:misc_RNA from 1 species
UCCAAUCAGCUUUUUGUUGCAAUGGGAAGUGUUAAAUUCUGUUCCAGUUUCACACGUGCCUCGCCAGCGCUCUGGCACCGGAGGCAUGUUUCUAUCAUUGAAGCUCUCGCUUUCUGGCCAAAUUCCAGUAUCGAGAACACCAAUGAUAAUGUCAUCGCCAAACUUGCCUUCUGGCCACAAUCCAGAGUGUUUGUUCAGGCCUAGAAAUUUUGGGGUGUGGGUAGUAUGGAGAUGGCCAUAU